CCUACGGGAGGCAGCAGUAGGGAAUUUUUCGCAAUGGACGAAAGUCUGACGGAGCAAUGCCGCGUGAGGGAAGAAGGUUUUCGGAUUGUAAACCUCUGUUGUAAGGGAAGAACGACUAUAGUAGGAAAUGGCUAUAGAGUGACGGUACCUUACCAGAAAGGGACGGCUAACUACGUGCCAGCAGCCGCGGUAAU
rnacentral:rRNA from 1 species